rnacentral:rRNA from 1 species
AAACCAGCACCUCAAGUGGUCAGGAUGAUUAUUGGGCCUAAAGCAUCCGUAGCCGGCUCUGUAAGUUUUCGGUUAAAUCUGUACGCUCAACGUACAGGCUGCCGGAAAUACUGCAGAGCUAGGGAGUGGGAGAGGUAGACGGUACUCGGGAGGAAGUGGUAAAAUGCUUUGAUCUCUCGAUGACCACCUGUGGCGAAGGCGGUCUACCAGAACACGUCCGACGGUGAGGGAUGAAAGCUGGGGGAGCAAACCGGAUUAGAAACCCCAGUAGUCC